rnacentral:rRNA from 1 species
GACGAACGCUGGCGGCGUGCUUAACACAUGCAAGUCGAACGGAAAGGCCUGCUUUCCCUUGUGGAUUGCGGGUACUCGAGUGGCGAACGGGUGAGUAACACGUGAGUGAUCUGCCCCCAACUUGGGUAUAAGCCUGGGAAACUGGGUCUAAUUCCCGAUAGGACUGCAGGGUGGUGCCUGUGGUGGAAAACGAUUUUCUAGUGGUUGGGGAUGAGCUCGCGGCCUAUCAGCUUGUUGGUGGGGUAAUGGCCUACCAAGGCGGCGACGGGUAGCCGGCCUGAGAGGGUGGACGGCCACAUUGGGACUGGGAUACGGCCCAGACGCCUGCGGGAGGCAGCAGUGGGGAAUAUUGCACAAUGGGCGGAAGCCUGAUGCAGCGACGCCGCGUGGGGGAUGACGGCCUUCGGGUUGUAAACUCCUUUCGACCGCGAGGAAGCCACCUGGUUGGAAGGGUGGUGACGGUAGUGGUAGAAGAAGCACCGGCUAACUACGUG